rnacentral:rRNA from 1 species
AAACAUUAUUAUUUAGAUGAACUCUAUUAGUAUUUAUAAAAUUAUUUACCUGAGCCAGUAUUGCUUAACAACCUCACUCAAUUCACAUUAAACUCUGCAAAGGAUACAACCAAUUAACUAUAAGAAAAAGUAAACUCCUCUACCUCCUGCAUCAUGUGGUUGCAACAUACAACAAUCACUCCUGUUUCCCGAAAAAUGGAGAGCUACUAACAGCAACCAAGAUCAAUCUUAAUGUUUCAAUAUUAAGAAACAGCUAUUAGUAGCAGCAAAAUACCUUACGAGCCAUUUGAUAGCUGGUUGUUCCUAAAAGAUAUAUAAGUAUCCCCUUACAGAAGCUUUACGAAUAUACACCACCUGUAAUGGAAACUUAAAUGGGGACAAGCCCGUUUAAGCCCUAUAGAAGUAAAUUUAAACGACGAUAUCCAAAAAAGGACCUAAAAACAGCCAAAAAUAACCCGUUAAAGGGACGAACCUUAAAAUAACUCCAACCUAGUAAAUCAACUCCUUAAUUAACUAAGGAACCUUAUAAGAUUAACCUUAACCUAUAAUGAACCGGCAAUUAUUAGUAUCAAAUAAUUAGUAGUAUCGCAAAGAACAUAAUAUAAAUAGUACUUCAACAAAACUACCACGACAGUAAAGAAAUCGUAAGUAAUGAACUCGGCAAAUAAUCUCUCUGCCUGUUUACCAAAAACAUCGUCUUCUGAACUUACACCAGAUAAAAGAUACUGCCUGCCCAAUGACGUAGUUAAAUGGCCGCGUUAGCGUGAUCGUGCUAAGGUAGCGUAAUAAUUAGCUCCCUAAUUAGGAGCCAGUGAAUGGCAAGACAAAGAGAAACUCUAUCCCUUACGACCAGAAAAUUUUCCCAUUAAGUGAAAAGGCUUGAAUAAAAGAGAAAGACAAAAAGACCCCGCGGAACUCCCUGAACCUUUACCCCUAUACACAGAUAUUAAAGCUACCCAGGUUGGUUGGGGCAACCCUGGAACAACUUCAACUUCCAACUUAUACAAUAAAAUAUGAAAAACUUGAUAAGGACCACAAUUGCAGUUACCCCGGGGAUAACAGCGUAAUCCAACUUAAGAGUACGUGCAACUUGGCGCAGCCGCUAAGAUACCUGCCAGUCUGUUCGACUGCAAACACCCUACAUGAGCUGAGUUAAGACCGGCGAGAGCUAGGUUGGACUCUAUCUUCUCAGCAAAAAUCGUCUCUUUAUUGUACGAAAGGACCCAAAGAGCCACACAAUAAGUGCCAUUAAACCUCCUAAUUAACCAUCUAUUACCCAAUAGACAUAAU